UCGGAUAGCUGGAGGGGGACGCAGGAAGGUAGGUGAACCGGGGCGAUGGUUGUCCCCGGGUAAGCGUGUAGGAGGAUCCCGAUGAGAGUUGGGGUCAUUAACUCUGAGACGUGAUGCCGAGCCGAUUAAGGCGAAGUCACUGAUCCUAUGCUGCCAAGAAAAGCCCAACAGUGAGUUGGCACGGCACCCGUACCCCAAACCGACACAGGUGGGCGGGUAGAGAAUACCAAGGCGAUCGGGAGAACUAUGGUUAAGGAACUCGGCAAAUUGCAUCCGUAACUUCGGGAGAAGGAUGACCCUAUUAGGGUGAAGGGAUUUACUCCCAGAGCUCGAGAGGGUGGCACAGACCAGGGGUAGCGACUGUUUACCAAAAACACAGCAGCGUGCCAAGCCGCAAGGCGCAGUAUACGCUGUGACGCCUGCCCAAUGCUGGAAGGUCACGGGGAACGGUUAGUCGUAAGGCGAAGCUGUGAACCUAAGCCCCAGUGAAUGGCGGCCGUAACUAUAACGGUCCUAAGGUAGCGAAAUUCCUUGUCGGGUAAGUUCCGACCUGCACGAAUGGCGUAACGACUUCCCCACUGUCUCAACCAUAGACCCGGCGAAAUUGAAGUACGAGUAAAGAUGCUCGUUAGCGGCGGAAGGACGAAAAGACCCCAUGGACCUUUACUAUAACUUGAUAUUGAGCUUUGUCCUGCAUUGUGUAGGAUAGGUGGGAGACUUGGAAGCGGUGGCGCCAGCUAUCGUGGAGUCAACGUUGAAAUACCACCCUGUGUAUGACGGGGCUCUAACCUGGGUCCAUUAUCUGGAUCAGGAACAGUGUCAGGCGGGUAGUUUGACUGGGGCGGUCGCCUCCUAAAAUGUAACGGAGGCGCCCAAAGGUUCCCUCAGGCUGGUUGGCAAUCAGCCGUCGAGUGCAAUGACACAAGGGAGCUUGACUGCGAGACUGACAGGUCAAGCAGGUGCGAAAGCAGGGCAUAGUGACCCGGCCAUCACGUGUGGAAGUGUGGUCGCUCAACGGAUAAAAGGUACCCUGGGGAUAACAGGCUAAUCUCCCCCAAGAGUCCAUAUCGACGGGGAGGUUUGGCACCUCGAUGUCGGCUCAUCGCAUCCUGGGGCUGAAGCAGGUCCCAAGGGUUGGGCUGUUCGCCCAUUAAAGCGGUACGCGAGCUGGGUUCAGAACGUCGUGAGACAGUUCGGUCUCUAUCCUCCGCAGCCGAAGGUGUAUUGAGGAAGGCUGUCCCUAGUACGAGAGGACCGGGACGGACGGAGCUCUGGUGUGUCUGUUGUCCUGCCAAGGGCAUUGCAGAUUAGCCACCUCCGGAAGGGAUAACUGCUGAAAGCAUCUAAGUAGGAAACCCGUUCCAAGAUGAGUACACCCAUGCGGUUAACGCAGUAAGGCCCGUGACAAGACCAUCACGUUGAUAGGCCGGAGGUGUAAGCACGGUAACGUGUGUAGCCGACCGGUACUAAUCGGCCGAGGGCUC
rnacentral:rRNA from 1 species